UACGAAGGGGGCUAGCGUUGCUCGGAAUCACUGGGCGUAAAGGGUGCGUAGGCGGGCCUUUAAGUCAGGGGUGAAAUCCUGGAGCUCAACUCCAGAACUGCCUUUGAUACUGAAGAUCUUGAGUAUGGGAGAGGUGAGUGGAACUGCGAGUGUAGAGGUGAAAUUCGUAGAUAUUCGCAAGAACACCAGUGGCGAAGGCGGCUCACUGGCCCAUUACUGACGCUGAGGCACGAAAGCGUGGGGAGCAAACAGG
rnacentral:rRNA from 1 species